rnacentral:rRNA from 1 species
AUUGAACGCUGGCGGCAUGCUUUACACAUGCAAGUCGAACGGUAACAGGCCGCAAGGUGCUGACGAGUGGCGAACGGGUGAGUAAUGCAUCGGAACGUGCCCAGUCGUGGGGGAUAACGCAGCGAAAGCUGCGCUAAUACCGCAUACGAUCUAUGGAUGAAAGCGGGGGACCGUAAGGCCUCGCGCGAUUGGAGCGGCCGAUGUCAGAUUAGGUAGUUGGUGGGGUAAAGGCUCACCAAGCCAACGAUCUGUAGCUGGUCUGAGAGGACGACCAACCAAGCUGGGACUGAGACGCGGCCCAGACUCCUACGGGAGGCAGCAGUGGGGAAUUUUGGACAAUGGGCGCAGGCCUGAUCCAGCAAUGCCGCGUGCAGGAAGAAGGCCUUCGGGUUGUAAACUGCUUUUGUACGGAACGAAACGGCUCUGGUUAAUACCUGGGGCUAAUGACGGUACCGUAAGAAUAAGCACCGGCUAACUACGUGCCAGCCGCCGCCGUAACAC